rnacentral:rRNA from 1 species
GACGAACGCUGGCGGCGUGCUUAACACAUGCAAGUCGAACGGAAAGGCCCUGCUUUUGUGGGGUGCUCGAGUGGCGAACGGGUGAGUAACACGUGAGUAACCUGCCCUUGACUUCGGGAUAACUUCAGGAAACUGGGGCUAAUACCGGAUAGGAGCUCCUGCUGCAUGGUGUGGGUUGGAAAGUUUCGGCGGUUGGGGAUGGACUCGCGGCUUAUCAGCUUGUUGGUGGGGUAGUGGCUUACCAAGGCUUUGACGGGUAGCCGGCCUGAGAGGGUGACCGGCCACAUUGGGACUGAGAUACGGCCCAGACUCCUACGGGAGGCAGCAGUGGGGAAUAUUGCACAAUGGGCGGAAGCCUGAUGCAGCAACGCCGCGUGCGGGAUGACGGCCUUCGGGUUGUAAACCGCUUUCGCCUGUGACGAAGCGUGAGUGACGGUAAUGGGUAAAGAAGCACCGGCUAACUACGUG